AUUGAACGCUGGCGGCAGGCCUAACACAUGCAAGUCGAGCGGAGCGGCGGACGGGUGAGUAAUGCCUAGGACUCUGCAUGGUAGUGGGGGAUAACGUCCGGAAACGGGCGCUAAUACCGCAUACUAUCAGAUUAGCCUAGGUGGGAUUAGCUAGUUGGUGGGGUAAAGGCCUACCAAGGCGACGAUCAGUAACUGGUCUGAGAGGAUGAUCAGGCACACUGGAACUAGGACACGGUCCAGACUCCUACGGGAGGCAGCAGGGGGGAAUAUUGGACAAGGGGCGAAAGCCUGAUCCAGCCAAGCCGCGUGUGUGAAGAAGGUCUUCGGAGUGUAAAGCACUUUAAGUUGGGAGGCGUUACCAGCAGAAUAAGCACCGGCUAACUUCGUGCCAGCAGCCGCGGUAAUUC
rnacentral:rRNA from 1 species